rnacentral:tRNA from 1 species
GACUCCAUAGUGUAGUGGUUAGCACAUCUGCUUUACACCCAGAAGAAGGUCCUAGGUUUGCGCCCCAGGUGGAGCCA